UUCGUGGAUAUAUAUACUAGUUGAGGACUGGAAUGGGCCUGACGUUGUCGAUGAAAUCAGUGAGACAUUUCGUAGCCGGUGAGAUCAGCCAUUGCUAGGUUUGUUCCACGGAAAAGUAUUCGAAUUCCAAUUAUAAGACGUGAAAACUAUGGAAUUGGCCACGCCCAGAUGUUGUCCAUGGAACUUGAAGAUAUUCUAAGGGUUGAGUGUUGUGAGCCACAUAUCUCAAUGCUACAUAAUAUUAGAAAUGAGAGGUCACAUGGUGGGUUGAGUGGCACUAGCCUUCACCUAUUUGUUGCUAAAUGGUUGGUGCUACCUAUGUGUUGGUAAUACUUAAAGCUCCCUUGCCAGGAUCAUUUGAGUCUCAACAAAAUGGCACUCUUCCUUGGUGGUGGCUACAACCAAUACAUUUCCAUGGAUGGAACUACUGUGAUAUCAGCAUUGGUUAUUCUUGCUGCUGGAGUUUGACAAGAAGUGGAAUCAUGGAAUGGCUACAUCUUGCGCCCUCUUGCUGAUCUACUAUGGCUAUACUCUGUUGUUAUUUUCUUAUGUUAUUACCUCAUGUCUAAAAUCUUUAAUAUCAGAAAAUGUUUAUUUUAUUUUGCUUAUCUUGGUGGGUUGUACUAGGGAACUGUGGAGUCUGCCAUUAGUAGUGGUGUAUAUAGUCUAUGUAGCAGGGACCAGUUGGCCUUUACGGUUAUUUUUUAUUUUGAUGCUGCUGGUUGCUGAAGUCCCAGGCCCUAGGUUUUCUAGAUUUUUUAGAGUUAUGUGCAUGUUGAAAUUUCUAAUUCAUUGGUUAAAGUGGAACAAACUACAUUGUAUGAAGGUUGCCAACUUGUUUUUCUUGAGGAAACAUGUGCCAAUGGCAGCAAAGGAGCAUUAAAAAUAUGAAAACUUUAA